UACGGGGGGGAGCAAGCGUUGUUCGGAUUUACUGGGCGUAAAGGGGCGCGUAGGCGGUCGUGACAAGUCACUUGUGAAAUCUCCGGGCUUAACUCGGAACGGUCAAGUGAUACUGUCGGACUAGAGUACAGAAGGGGCAACUGGAAUUCUCGGUGUAGCGGUGAAAUGCGUAGAUAUCAAGAGGAACACCAGUGGCGAAGGCGAGUCCCUGGACAACACCUGACACUGAGGCACGAAAGCUAGGGGAGCAAACAGG
rnacentral:rRNA from 1 species